UACGUAGGUGACAAGCGUUGUCCGGAAUUAUUGGGCGUAAAGCGAGCGCAGGCGGAAGAAUAAGUCUGAUGUGAAAGCCCUCGGCUUAACCGAGGAACUGCAUCGGAAACUGUUUUUCUUGAGUGCAGAAGAGGAAAGCGGAAUUCCAUGUGUAGCGGUGAAAUGCGUAGAUAUAUGGAGGAACACCAGUGGCGAAGGCGGCUUUCUGGUCUGUAACUGACGCUGAGGCUCGAAAGCAUGGGUAGCGAACAGG
rnacentral:rRNA from 1 species